UACGUAGGUGGCAAGCGUUGUCCGGAAUUAUUGUGCGUAAAGCGCGCGCAGGUGGUUUCUUAAGUCUGAUGUGAAAGCCCACGGCUCAACCGUGGAGGGUCAUUGGAAACUGGGGAACUUGAGUGCAGAAGAGGAAAGUGGAAUUCCAAGUGUAGCGGUGAAAUGCGUAGAGAUUUGGAGGAACACCAGUGGCGAAGGCGACUUUCUGGUCUGUAACUGACACUGAGGCGCGAAAGCGUGGGGAGCGAACAGG
rnacentral:rRNA from 1 species